AUGCAACUCGUCACCUGCGGCCGGACGACGGUUGACAUUAACAGUGAGAUUGGGUCUUACUUCCCGACCUUAUGUGGGGUCCGCCAGGGUGACCCGUUCUCCCCGUUUCUGUUCAACAUGGUAGUCGAUGCCCUCGCGGUCAUCCUUGAUAAGCCCAAAGCUUGUGACCAUAUCCGCGGCAUAGUCCCUCACCUGGUGGGAGGGGGAGGGGUCUCCCUGUCAGUGUAUGCGGACGAUACCAUAGUAAUGGUGGAGGGAUCCGAGUCCGACAUUGCCAACCUGAAGUUCCUCCUCCUGUGUUUCCAAUAG
rnacentral:rRNA from 1 species